rnacentral:lncRNA from 1 species
UCCAUUCUUGCGACACGACGAGAUGCGCUUCUAUCCCUAACGAGGCCCUCGUGCCAAAUUGAGGAUAGGGUCGCAUCUUGGGCGUGACAGGUUGAUGCCACUAUUUCCUAUCAUUUCGAUAUAUCUUAUGAUCAUUCACCUGUAUGCUUGGUGAUGUGUGCAUUAUAGUUCAUUCAAAUCUUUUAUACACUCCACCAAGAUGUAUGUGACAUGGAAGAGUGACCCAUGAUCCUAAUCGAAUGUGCAUCUGCAU